rnacentral:lncRNA from 1 species
AGCCAGCAAUGAGGACAGAUGGAAACUUGAACUACGUGCUGGCAAGAAUGUGGCUGACAACACGGUGACCUGGAUCUGCCUCCAGGGGUGCUGGCAGAGCAGGGCUCUCACGCAGGGUUAGGAGAUGCACAGAAUUCAAGGCUUCCGAGUGACAGUUAGCAGAACCUGAAUGGGCUGCUCAUCAAGGAAAAAGCCCUGAUGGAGUCCAGGAACUCAAGUCCCAGUUCUGGUUCCUUCGCCAUUCAGCUGUGCCAUCAUGGGCACAUCACUUAGCCUCACUGGAGUUCAGUUUCCUCAGUAGUAAAAUGUGGUAAGCACAUCUCAAUUCAGACCAGCCACACUCCAGUGCUCGACAGCCACCUGUGGCUCACGGCCUGUACUGGACAGUGCAGCUGGAACCCAAUGGAUGAUUUUUUAAGGUCCCACUUAUGUCCCUCACUCAUCUACAGGCUCCAUGAAGUCAGAUAUCAAACAUUUCCAUUGCUACAUUCUCCAGGCCUAAUCUGCAUCCUCCCAGAGUGGCUCUUCAGUGAACAUCUACUGAAUUGAACAGACAUGCACAGAGCAGAUGGACAGCACUAGGGACUUGUCCUCUGGCCCCAGAGGCCCAUGAAAGAGUAUCCAGGCAGGCUGGACUAUGCUGGGAAGGGGGAAGGCCUGGGCCCUCAUCGAAAGGGAAGGACCCCAAAAGGAAGAGAAACCCAUCAACAUCCUGUUAACUAAACGGAGAGAAAUGCUGUUUAGGGGAAAAAAAAAAAAACAUAAUAAAUAAAAUUCCUGAGAGAAGCUGCUAA